GUUGAAGCGCCGGUUUCCGUAUGAUCAUCGAAGUGAAGCAACAUCGAGCCUGGUUAGUAUCUAGAUGGGUGACCGCUUAGGAAAACUAGGUGCUGUAA